UACAGAGGUGGCAAGCGUUGUUCGGAAUUACUAGGCGUAAAGGGCGCGUAGGCGGUCAGGUCAGUCCCGUGUGAAAUCCCUCGGCUCAACUGAGGAACUGCACGGGAAACUGCCUGGCUUGAGUUCGGGAGAGGGAAGCGGAAUUCCGGGUGUAGCGGUGAAAUGCGUAGAUAUCCGGAGGAACACCGGUGGCGAAGGCGGCUUCCUGGACCGACACUGACGCUGAGGCGCGAAAGCUAGGGGAGCAAACGGG
rnacentral:rRNA from 1 species